rnacentral:sRNA from 1 species
UUAAACAUAUAACUAGGUCAGUACCUGUGCUACGCACGGUAUCCAUGCUUUAAUCACUCAUCAAAUCUCAAUUAUGUAUAU